AUACACCAUGCGACCUGACUUAUGAACUUCACUAGAUUUAAUAACUUUGUUGUUUUUAUAAAUUAUUCUUGAUUAAUUUUAUGAUAACCCUAAAAAAAUUAAGCAUCAAUCCUAAAAAUAGACAUUUAUUUAAAAUUGUGAUAACUCUAUAAAAAAUAAAAAAUAAAUAAACCAUGAAUUUCAUUUCUCAACCAAUCCAAUAUUGAAUAAGAGUGCAAAAUAAAAAAAA
rnacentral:lncRNA from 1 species